rnacentral:lncRNA from 1 species
ACAAAUUGGCAAGUGUACCAAAUCGUACAAGUAAUAUAAAUGGUAAGACCAAGUAUCGUUUUCCCAAGAGACUCGAAUGACUUCCUCGUUCGCAUGAAUUAAAAAAAUAAGACUUGAAAAAUAAAAUUAAUAAAUUGGAUUUAAGAACAAAAAUAUUAACAUGCAAAAAUAAAGUUGAUUCAAUUGACAAACGAAAACAAUGGAUGAAUGGAUGUUGUUGGGUACUAACAAUUUCAUCUAUUCCACUCUCUCUUACAUACUACCCUUGAUUAUUAGUUGAUUGAUUCAAUUGUUAUGCGACUUUCUUAGCCUCCCCUUAACCCGAUCCCUCGGCGAAAAGGGCCU